GUAGUACUCCCUCCGUCCCAUAUUAAGUGACUUUCUAUUACAUGUAUUUAGACGCUUUUUAGGCAUAGAUACAUCCAUAUUAGGGCAAAUUUGAGUCACUGUAUAUGGGACGGAGGGAGUAAUAC
rnacentral:pre_miRNA from 1 species